rnacentral:tRNA from 1 species
AGGAGUGUAGCUCAGUUGGUAGAGCAUCGGUCUCCAAAACCGAGGGCCGGGGUUCGAGUCCCUCCACUCCUGCCA